CAAGUUUUCCUCUGAACAACCAAUCAGAAGGUGCAAACAUGCUGAGGGCAUUGAGGGCCAGCAUCCUGACCCUUGUGAAGACAAAUUUGAAAUCUGAUCAGUAACAGAAACAGUUACUAAUCCGGCACGGAGUGAGAUAUGGCAACAUUUUGCUCACAUGGCCGACAGUCAGGGCAAGCCGAAGGAGCUAAGCUAAGUCUACACACCCGCAAAGACCGCGAGAGGGACAAACAUCUCGCUGAGUGGCAUAUUCAGAAAUCAAAGACCAACAGACCUUACUUUUCUGAGUGUUACGACAGCAUCGGGGGACGAUGUACGGCAAGGGAUCACGAGGCUGGUCUCAUCUUCGAGAACAAACAGAACGUAUGGUGACUGAUUAAAGGGCUCCACGAAUGGCUGCUCUGGAUCUACGGGGAGAAAAAAAACAAAACAGGACAACAGAUCUUUCCCAUCACAAGAGCGACGAGGACGACAAAAGAAGCAGUGAAUGCGUCAAGGGUGUUUUUUAGGCCGAGUUAUCUCCAAUAAAACCCGCUAUUACUCCGUGAUGACUAUCGCCGUUCGGGGAGACGGAAAGAAUAGAGAAUCGUGUCAAGACUUCCCGACACUCCUCUGCGCCGCGUCUCCAAUGCCGCCGUCAAGGUUAAUGGAACAAUGCGGCUCGGUGACGUUUUUGUUUCGGCGUGCCGCUCAUUUCCAGGAGUGAGACACAAAAGGGCGGCUGAAGAGAGAUCGCGAACAAAAGAGGGAAGAAUCGUUUGAGUAAAAAAAAAAAAAAAAGAAAAAAAGGUAAAACAGCAGCAAAUGGCAACUCAUGUCCUGUCUCGACCUCGUUGACCCUUGGGAAGAAUUGCGAUAUGGUUCAAAUCCUCGAAAAGAGAAAUACUAAAAAAAUUCAAAAGGGAAAAAAAUCCUUCUGACAAUUCGUCGGAAUCCUCCCCAUGGUGAUAUUUAAAAAAUUUAUAGUAACUGGACACUCUUAAUUGCCCCUAGGUGUGAUUGUGAGUGUGGCUGUGGCUGUUUGUCUCGAUGUGCCCUGCGAUUGGCUGGUAACCAGUUCAGGGUGUACCCCGCCUCCUGCCUGAUGACAGCUGGGAAAGGGUCUGGCACUCUCCGCGACCCUUGUGAGGAUAAGCGGCUAAGAAAAUGGAUGGAUGGAUGAUUUUGAGCAGUUUUACAUUAUUUGAUUACACAAAUAUUGAGCUGGGGCAUGGUAAGAGCAUUGGCCUCACAGUUUUGUGGACUGAGGUUCAAAUCCCGCCUGUCACUGCCUGGGUUGUCUCCAGGCAUUCAAGUUUCCUCUCACAUCCCAAAAACAUGCAACAUUAAUUGGACACUCUAAAUUGCCCCUAGGUGUGAUUGCGAGUGCAGCUGUUUGUCUUUAUGUGCCCCCCCGAUUGCCUGGCAACCAGUUCAGGGUGUACCCCGCCUCCUGCUCGUUGACAGCCACUCCCAGCACUCCCCAUGACGCUCGUGAGGAUAAGUGGCAAAAGAAAAUGGAUGGAUGGAUGGAUGGAUGAUUUUGAGUAGUUUUACAUUAUUUGACACAAAUACUGAGCUGGCGGCACGGUGUAGUCACUGGCCUCACAGUUCUAAGGACUGGGGUUCAAAUCCCGCCUGCCCCUGCCUGGAUUUUCUCCAGGCAUUCCAAUUUCCAACCACAUCCCCGAAAACAGGCAACAUUAAUUGGAGACUCUAAAUUGCCCGUAGGUGUGAUUGUGAGUGCCACUGUUGUCUGUCUCGAUGUGCGCUGCGAUUGGCUGGCAACCAAUUCAGGCCCGUUGACAGCCACUCCCGGCACUCCCCGCGACCCUCGUGAGGAUAAGUGGCAAAAGAAAAUGGAUGGAUGGAUGAUUUUGAGCAGUUUUAAAUUAUUGGAUCACACAAAUACUGAGCUGGCGGCACAGUGGAGUAACCGGCCUCACAGAUCUGAGGACUGGGGUUCAAAUACCGCCUGCCCCUGCCUGGGUUUCCAAUCACAUCCCCGAAAACAGGCAACAUUAAUUGGAGACUCUAAAUUGCCCGUAGGUGUGAUUGUGGAUGCGACUGUUGUUUGUCUUUAUGUGCCCUGAGAUUGGCUGGCGAUCAAUUCAGGGUGUAACCCGACUCCUGCUUGAUGAUAGCUGAGAUAGGCUCCGACACUGCCGUGACACUUGUGAGGAUAAGCGACUCAGAUAUAUAGCCAUAUAGACUCUGCAUGUUUGCUGAAUUGGCAAACAUGCGGAGCGAAUUUUGGGCUUGCACAAAAAUCAGAUGCUCUCUGUAAAAAUAAAUAAUAAAAUAGAGCUCAUAUAAUGUUUUUAAAAAUAAAUCUCUCAAUGCACUUUAAAAGAUUUUCAACAUAAAAGUUCACUCAUAAUGGUUUAAUGGCGUGUGCCACAAGUCUGCGUUUGAUGCUCUGUCUCCUCUAUUUAAAAAAAUAAACUUGAUAUUAUUUAAGAAUGGGGGGGGGGGGGGAACUCACACAGCCUGACAAAGCAAGGAGCUUUUACGACUUGGCUUUCGCAGCGAUUUCGCAAAGAAAUUUCGCCAAGUUACCUUUGGGUGCAGUCUCGAGACAAGCAGUAAGGAAAUACGAGGUCAAUAGUCAAGUUUGAGGCAUGGACGCGACUUGAGAUCGAUCCAUGCAGUCGAUGUGCAUGCGUGUGUUGGACUUUUCCUUCAUAUUCAUCAGAAAUGCUCCCAACAUCUGCAGGUUGUUGAACAGUGUUCCCAAAAAAGUUACAUGAAGCCAACAAAUAGGAAUCUGUUGGAUGACGCUCUUAAAAGCUAAAUCUAAAUGAUUCAAAGUCCGUUGUACGUAAUCAUGAGUCAUGGGCACACAAACGCGCCUUGAAAUUGGAAAUCUCACGCAGGAUUUGCAAAGAAUACAUCGCAGGCUCACUCCGGAGCAGACGCCUCAAUCAUCGCAUAAGAAGGGAGGCAUGAAGCAAUUUGCAGAGUUAACCGUCACAAUUUAUGGAAUUGACUUUAUCUUCCACCUCCUGGCACGCUUCCCAUCCCCAGAGAGUGUCUAUGAAUGGGUUUGUUUUUUGUUUUUUUUGUAAUAUUUGCCUGUGAGCAAUGAGCCUCGACUGGGCUUGGAUGACCUCUCGUUACUCCUCUUUUCCUCUCAAACGUCUCAAGUGUCCAAGAACCCAAUCAAAAACAUUCCUAAACAAGCCAGACACAUAGAAAAACAGCUUCUCGUAUUAUUCGAGCAAAUAUUUGAGUGAUAAUCUACUGUUUAGUAUGAUUGAUUUUUAUGAUUGUUUUUUUUUUUUUUUUUUUUUUAAGUUUUUAACCAUGCAGGCAAG